rnacentral:tRNA from 3 species
CCAAACCCCAGAGAAGAGCA